UCGAACGGAAAGGCCCUGCUUGCAGGGUACUCGAGUGGCGAACGGGUGAGUAACACGUGGGUGAUCUGCCCUGCACUUCGGGAUAAGCCUGGGAAACUGGGUCUAAUACCGGAUAGGAGCCAUUUUUAGUGUGAUGGUUGGAAAGUUUUUUCGGUGUAGGAUGAGCUCGCGGCCUAUCAGCUUGUUGGUGGGGUAAUGGCCUACCAAGGCGGCGACGGGUAGCCGGCCUGAGAGGGUGGACGGCCACAUUGGGACUGAGAUACGGCCCAGACUCCUACGGGAGGCAGCAGUGGGGAAUAUUGCACAAUGGGCGCAAGCCUGAUGCAGCGACGCCGCGUGGGGGAUGACGGCCUUCGGGUUGUAAACUCCUUUCGCUAGGGACGAAGCUUUUUGUGACGGUACCUAGAUAAGAAGCACCGGCUAACUACGUGCCAGCAGCCGCGGUAAUACGUAGGGUGCGAGCGUUGUCCGGAAUUACUGGGCGUAAAGGGCUCGUAGGUGGUUUGUCGCGUCGUCUGUGAAAUUCCGGGGCUUAACUCCGGGCGUGCAGGCGAUACGGGCAUAACUUGAGUACUGUAGGGGUAACUG
rnacentral:rRNA from 1 species